rnacentral:rRNA from 1 species
CAGAACGAACGCUGGCGGCGCGUUUAAGCAUGCAAGUCGAGCGGCAAGGGCCUUCGGGCCCCUAGAGCGGCGGACGGGUGAGUAACACGUGGACAAUCUGCCCCCGGCCCGGGAUAGGCCCAGGGAAACCUGGAUUAAUACCGGAUGAGACGGGACCCGCGAAGGCGGACCCGGGAAAGGCGCUGCGGCGCCGCCGGGGGAUGAGUCUGCGUCCCAUUAGCUAGACGGCGGGGUAACGGCCCACCGUGGCGACGAUGGGUAGCCGGCCUGAGAGGGUGGACGGCCACAUUGGAACUGAGACACGGUCCAGACUCCUACGGGAGGCAGCAGCUAAGAAUCUUCCGCAAUGGGCGAAAGCCUGACGGAGCCGACGCCGCGUGAACGAAGAAGGCCGUGAGGUUGUAAAGUUCUUUUCGGGAGGGGAACAACCGUGGCAGGGAAUGGCCGCGGGAUGACGUGAAUCCCGGAAUAAGCCCCGGCUAACUACGUGCCAGCCGCCGC